CCCUUAGAUGUUCUGGGCCGCACGCGCGCUACACUGAUGCAUUCAACGAGUCUAAAACCUGGUCUGAUAGGGCUGGGUAAUCUUUUGAAAGUGCAUCGUGAUUGGGAUAGAUGAUUGCAAUUCUUCAUCUUCAACGAGGAAUGCCUAGUAAACGCAAGUCAUCAGCUUGCAUUGAUUACGUCCCUGCCCUUUGUACACACCGCCCGUCGCUCCUACCGAUUGAAUGAUCCGAUGAAUACCAUGGAUUGAGAGUACGAGUGGGUUCGCUCAUUUCUGCUGCUCGAGAAGUGGAGUAAAUCUUAUCAUUUAGAGGAAGGAGAAGUCGUAACA
rnacentral:rRNA from 1 species